UAACGAGUUGAACGGGGUUGUAGCUGGCCUUCACAGGCAUGUGCACACCUCACUCAUCCACUCUACACCUGUGCACUUACUGUGGGUUUCGAGAGGCCGCGCUUGCGUGGGUGAUCGGGCUCACGUCUAUUACAAACUCUUCAGUAUCAGAAUGUGUAUCGCGAUGUAACGCAUCUAUAUACAACUUUCAGCAACGGAUCUCUUGGCUCUCGCAUCGAUGAAGAACGCAGCGAAAUGCGAUAAGUAAUGUGAAUUGCAGAAUUCAGGGAAUCAUCGAAUCUUUGAACGCACCUUGCGCUCCUUGGUAUUCCGAGGAGCAUGCCUGUUUGAGUGUCGUGUAAUUCUCAACCUAUAAAUCCUUGUGGUUUUUAGGCUUGGACUUGGAGGCUUUUGCUGGCUUUACCGUCGGCUCCUCUUAAACGCAUUAGCUUGAUUCCUUGCGGAUCGGCUCUCAGUGUGAUAAUUAUCUGCGCUGUGACCGUGAAGCGUUUGGCGAGCUUCUAACCGUCUCUUCGAGACAAACACUUUGACAUCUGACCUCAAAUCAGGUAGGACUACCCGCUGAACUUAAGCAUAUCAAUAAGCGGAGGAAAAGAAACUAACAAGGAUUCCCCUAGUAACUGCGAGUGAAGCGGGAAGAGCUCAAAUUUAAAAUCUGGCGGUCUUUGGCCGUCCGAGUUGUAGUCUGGAGAAGUGCUUUCCGCGCUGGACCGUGUACAAGUCUCUUGGAACAGAGCGUCAUAGAGGGUGAGAAUCCCGUCUUUGACACGGACUACCAGUGCUUUGUGAUGCGCUCUCAAAGAGUCGAGUUGUUGGGAAUGCAGCUCAAAA
rnacentral:rRNA from 1 species